GACUCAACUUCAGAGGAUGUCAAAUUAUGAACUUCAACCAACGAGGAGGCUAUGUUGCUGUUGGAAGAGCUUAGUGUGGAUCAUACAGGUGUUGCUGUUUUGUUAAAAAUGCAAAACAUACUUCUUGAAUAUGAACAGAGAAUAGAACGUGGGAAAAAUCGGUAUACAGCUCUCUCGAGAGAAGUAAAGAAAUUGGAAGACGAAAAGGAGGAGUCACAGUUAAGAGCAGAGGAGACUCAAGAUUUGAAAUCCAUAUUGGCUCACCAAGCAGCAGAAUGAAAAAGUGAUAUCCAAAGCCUUAAAUGUUAUUUGAAACAACAAGAAGAAAAGAGGCUCAGAGUGGAAGUCCUGUGUGAGAAAAUGAGAGAAAAACUCCGAAGGAAAGAAGAUCAAUAUUGUAAAGAGAUGGAGGAGAAACAGAAACUUGAGUUAUACUCAAGGACUUUAGAAAUGGAGAUAAGAAUGCUGAGAAAGCUCUUG